AGGGUAACAUGGCAUAUAUUAAUGAUGCUUGUAAUAGUGUAUCAAAAGACAGCCAUCCAGAAGUUAUAGAGAGUGUUUCAAAGCUCAACAAUCAGUGGGAACUUACAACUAGUGAUCUCAAAUCUCGCAUUAAAACCAUGGAGAAAUUGAUAGAACGACAGAAGCAGUACAAUGAUGAAGUAACAUGGGCUGAAAUCAUGGCUAGCAGAAUUAAAGUUACAUCUUUUUGCAAGCAGAAGAAGCAGCUUUAGGUGAUAUAGAAACUCUAGAGGCUCAGCUUGAGCAGUCAAAUGCUCUUCAAGAUGAUAUUGCAACUCUACAAAACAACUUUAGAAAUAUUUCAACAACUGGGAAGCAGCUUUUGGAGGAAGGUAAUGGAGAGCUUAAAACCAUGGUGAAAAGCCAGCUGGAAGAGCUUACGGCUCGAUGGGACACUGUCACUGAACAAGCACGUGUCCAAAAUAAGUCCCUGAAAGAAGCAUUAGCUAAGAGUCA